CAUGUUGUGAUACAAGAAGGCGCAAAAGCGGCUUUCUUUAGCUGUUAAAUCCAAGAAUACUUAGAAUACUUAUUCGAAUAUUUAACCAGAUCUCUGAAUUGUGUCGGGUAAGAACGGACCAUAGGUUUGAUUUAUAUACGCUCAUUUUUGUAAAGUAUAGUCGCUAUAUACUCAGCUAACUGAAAAUUUAAUUUUUGUAUUUCAUAUCGAAGAGGUCAAAUAAAUCAUAAACUUUUGGCGUCUUGUAUCUGCAAGAAAUCAAUAGAAACUGAGAAGACAAAUAA
rnacentral:sRNA from 1 species